CAAGGAUUCCCCAGUAACGGCGAGUGAACAGGGAAGAGCCCAGCGCCGAAGCCUCCGUCCCGAGCGGGCGGUAGGCAAUGUGGCGUUCGGGAGAAACCUCUCCUUCCGGAAGCUGUCUGGGAGCCCAGGUCCCCCUGACCGGGGCCAUCGCCCGUUGAGGGUGCAAGGCCCGUGUGGCUCUCGGCGUCCGGAGGACGGUUUUAUUUCUCCCGGGAGUCGGGUUGCUUGGGAGUGCAGCCCUAAGAGGGUGGUAAACUCCAUCUAAGGCUAAAUACUUCCACGAGACCGAUAGCAAACAAGUACCGUGAGGGAAAGUUGCAAAGAACUUUGAAGAGAGAGUUCAAGAGUACGUGAAACCGCUCGUAGGUAAACGGGUGGGCCCUCGAAGGCAAGCAGGAGGGGAUUCAACCCGUUGGCAGUCGACCGUGCACUGCGGUUUUUCUCGAAACGGAUCCGAGAGACCGGCCCGUUGGUGCCGCGGUCGUCAGCGGGCGCACUUCCCCUUCUCGCGUCCCGUCUCCCCUGUGAGGCGGGACCGAACGCCGCGACCGGUCGGGAGAUACGACGGCGGCCAAGCGGCGAGACUGGGCAGGUAUCCUACUCGUCCUUUCUGUCCGUGAAGCCCACUCUCGGGUGGGUGGGCAGGAUGGCUUGUAGGAGAGUUUUCAGCCCGUCUCGACCCGGCUCCGCCGCCCGACCGUGGUCUAGAACCGAGGUUCGACAACCGCGCAUGCGCUGUUUCGACGCUCGAGCCCGUCCCGCACGUAGGGUUUUUCUGGCCGCCGAUAGACCCCUCCCCCCCGCUCUUGGCGGUUACAUGAAGCGGUCCCCCUGCGUCGCGUCUUGAUUGAAAAGGACGUGUGCUCUCGAACGAUAGGAUUUUUUUUUUUUAAUUUUUUAAAAAAAGAGUCCUACGGUGCGCUUGUGGUCGGCGGCGAG
rnacentral:rRNA from 1 species